AUAAAACAACAGUAGGGAGGCUAUAUACAGGGGGUACCGGUACAGAAUCAAUCUGCGGGGGCACCGGUUAGUCGAGGUAAUUGAGGUAAUAUGUGCAUGUUGGUAGAGUACAUCUCUGCUCCAGGACCUCCUGUCUGUUUCAAGCCCAAUCCAGCUUGCUCUUCCAGUGGGUAAAACACAGGGCCAUCAUCCUCAUGGCUCUGCCAAGCUGGAAACUGGCACCACUGUGCCUACUUGCCAAGCUGUGCCAGGGCAGGGCCGGCGUAGGCUUUCUAGCUCUGCAAAACCCAGCAUGGGAGAAAGAGAAGUGAAAUGGUGAGAAUGAAUCUUAAAUGUUGCACAGAAUUACUUGUCCAAUCCACUCAAAAGUUAUUUUUGGAGGAAUGUCCCAUGUUAAUAUACAGUAGUUCUGGAGGUCUGAGUUUUAACAUUUGAGUCAUUUAGCAGACACUUAUCCAGAGCAACUUACAGUAGUGAAUGCAUACAAGUUCAUAUUAUGAUUUUUUUCAUACUUGGGAAUCGAAUCCACUACCCUGGAUUUGCAAGCACCACGCUCUACCAACUGAGCUAAUUGUAAAUCAAGUAGAAAACAGAGACAGAUAGUGGUAUGCAUGGCACACUGAUUUAUCAUUGUGGGGCAAAUGUUCAUAUUCAUGGGAAAAUGACUAGUUACCUUUUCUCUUUAUACACAGUUACAGUCUAACACACACACACACACACACACACACACACACACACACACACACACACACACACACACACACACACACACACACACACACACACACACACACACACAGUCUGAUUGUGAAAAGCCAAACUGGUCAGUGAGGACUGAUGUGCUGUGACCAAAGAUUUAUAUAAUCGCUUAGGUACUAUCUUCACAAGUAUGUGGUAAACUUUAACAACUCUUAGUACAAAACUCAAAGCAGGUCAUCAAAAGGCUGUUUUUUCCAAACUUGAAGCAGAUUUUCUAAUUUACUAAUAAGUACAACACACAAAAACCACACAGUAACCUUUUCACCAAACCUAAUCAGUGUUUCAUCUAGAAAUACCUUUCAUAUUAAGUACUAUGUUUCAUAGGACUCUCUUCUCAUUUGUUUAAAUUACAAUUGACCACCAUUUAAUCCAAAUGUGCUUAUUGGUAUAACACUUAGCCAUUUGGUUAACCUAUAGAUUUUAAACUGGUUUGUCUACUAUAUAUGGAUUUUGAGAACUACAGAAAGAAAAUAUGUUUGUAAAGUAUAACCCUACAUAGUAACUGUUCCUUAUUGUUAAUUGAUUUCAGUUUCAGUCCACUGACACACCUACCAGAUCACAGCAAAAUCACAGUCUACUUGUAAAAGAGCAAUAUUCAAAUCAUGAGGCAUUAAAGCCUAAGAAACUGCAUAAUGUUAAGAAAUGCUGGAGAUGGAAGAAAUGUAGUGUGGAAAUAAACCGAAAAACAUUUAGGCAACAACAAAUUCAAUUCCUUUUAGACAACUUCCUGGACAAAACAUUUCACUGUAAUAGGGAAGGUGGUCCUUCUGUGUGUGUGUGGUCCUUCUGUAGCACAGUUGGUAGAGCAUGGCGCGUGUAACGCCAGGGUAGUGGGUUCAAUUCCCGGGACCACCCAUACGUAGAAUGUAUGCACACAUGACUGUAAGUCGCUUUGGAUAAAAGCGUCUGCUAAAUGGCAUAUAUUAAGGUGUAAACUUGGCAGCAGAAAACUGAAACAGUACAUUUAACAUCUCAGCUUCCCUAUCAAAUCUAAAAAUGUCAAUCAGACAACCUAAGAAAAUGAAUGACAAAUGGUUUGAUGAAGAAUGCAAAAACAUAUCCAACCAAAAACCAUAGAGACAGUCACAGGUCAGGGUUUUCUCCCUUGAGUGUAAUACCUGAGGUUGCCACUGGAGAGCACCGGUGGGUUACUCCUAGUAUCCAGGUGACCCUGAUUGGGCUUAUUGGGAUCACCUGCUGGAUGACUAUUUUAGGUUCCUCUGUGGGCUGGGUCAGUUGUUCAGGUCUUGUUCAGUGUUCUCGUGUGCCCUUGCGAUGAGGACCUUAAGUAAAUAUUCUGGAUUUACCCUUACCUCUGCGUUUCGCUGCACUCGGGUCCGAGUUUGUACUAGCACUAAUGUCACAGUAUACCCAGAAUCUCUGAGCAUACGCCUUCACUAUGGUGAUUCACUUAAACAAUACAGAAAAAGACAGAACAGCGUGUCAGCAAUCAGCUCAAUGUAAUUGUGGAAUCCAUAGAAGCCAACCACCUCUGGGAAAAUUGGAAUACACAACAACGAGUUAUCUGUCCAAAACGGAGAUGUACAAACCACUUCUCCGAUCUUUACGGCUCUAUAACAAAAGAACAAACAGCAAAAACUUUUACAUGAUCAAAUACAAGUCUUAGAAUCAACUAUUAAAGACUACCAGAACCCACUGGAUUCUCCGAUUACAUUGAACUACAGCAUAAAAUACAAACCGAAAAAAGGUGUAUUCACCCUGCACACCCUAAUUGACAAACAAACAGAACAAAGGUGUAUUCACCCUGCACACCCUAAUUGACAAACAAACAGAACAAAGGGAAAGUCUUAUUAUUCUUUGUUGAUUUCAAAAAAGCGUUUGACUCAAUUUGGCAUGAGGGUCUGCUAUACAAACUGA